CCCACGCAGCCGCCGCAGCCCC
rnacentral:misc_RNA from 1 species